AUGGACGACUACCUCAAGCUACAUCAAGUUCCUCCCGAAGAUCAAGUGAAGUGUGCCACAAGGAACUUGCAUGACUACGCGUCCACAUGGUGGCUUCACACACCUUCGGAGACCUACAAAAUGAGUUGGCCCAAGACGAAGAGAGCUUUGCAGCGAGAGUCCGUGCCUCCAACCUACAUGGAACAACUUCUAAGCCAAUUGGAGAACACCACCCAAGGAUCCAAGUCCAUCGACGAGUACUUCAAGGAGAUGAAGAAAGCCUUGCGACGAGCUGGCGAGGACGAUCCCAUUUCGAUGAAGUUCCACUUCAUGAUGGGAUUGCACAACGACAUCUCCAAGACGAUCUUCCUUGAGAACUACAACUCCCUAGUGGAAUGA
rnacentral:rRNA from 1 species